rnacentral:rRNA from 1 species
AUUGAACGCUAGCGGGAUGCCUUACACAUGCAAGUCGAACGGAGUGGCGAACGGGUGAGUAAUGUAUCGGAACGUGCCCAGUAGCGGGGGAUAAAUACGCGAAAGCGUAGCUAAUACCGCAGACGAUGGGAGCGGCAGAUAUGGGAUUAGCUAGUUGGUGGGGUAACGGCUCACCAAGGCGACGAACCAUAGCUGGUUUGAGAGGACGACCAGCCACACUGGGACUGAGACACGGCCCAGACUCCUACGGGAGGCAUCAGUGGGUAAUUUUGGACAAUGGGGGAAACCCUGAUCCAGCCAUCCCGCGUGUGCGAUGAAGGCCUUCGGGUUGUAAAGCACUUUUGGCAGGAAAGCGGUACCUGCAGAAUAAGCACCGGCUAACUACGUGCCAGCAGCCGCGGUAAUUC